GACUACCGGGGUAUCUAAGCCUGUUUGCUCCCCACGCUUUCGUGCCUCAGCGUCAAUCGUAGCUUAGUGAGCUGCCUUCGCAAUCGGUGUUCUAUGACAUAUCUAAGUAUUUCACCACUACAUGUCAUAUUCCGCCCACCUCAACUACAUUCAAGAUAAACAGUAUCAAUGGCAAUUCUACAGUUAAGCUGCAGGCUUUCACCACUGACUUAUUUAUCCGCCUACGCACCCUUUAAACCCAAUAAAUCCGGAUAACGCUUGGAUCCUCCGUAUUACCGCGGCUGCUGGCACGGAGUUAGCCGAUCCUUAUUCUGCAGGUACCAUCAGCCCUCAACGCAUCGAGGGGUUUUUUCCCUGCUAAAAGAAGUUUACAACCCAUAGGGCCGUCAUCCUUCACGCGGCAUAGCUGGAUCAGGCUUGCGCCCAUUGUCCAAUAUUCCUUACUGCAGCCCCCCGUAGG
rnacentral:rRNA from 1 species